UACGGAGGGUGCAAGCGUUAAUCGGAAUUACUGGGCGUAAAGCGUGCGCAGGCGGUUUUGUAAGCCAGGUGUGAAAUCCCCGGGCUCAACCUGGGAAUGGCAUUUGGGACUGCAAGGCUGGAGUGCGGCAGAGGAGACUGGAAUUCCUGGUGUAGCAGUGAAAUGCGUAGAUAUCAGGAGGAACACCGAUGGCGAAGGCAGGUCUCUGGGCUGACACUGACGCUCAUGCACGAAAGCGUGGGGAGCAAACAGG
rnacentral:rRNA from 1 species